UAUUGGACAAUGGGCGCAAGCCUGAUCCAGCAAUGCCGCGUGAGUGAAGAAGGUCUUCGGAUUGUAAAGCUCUUUCGACGGGGACGAUGAUGACGGUACCCGUAGAAGAAGCCCCGGCUAACUUCGUGCCAGCAGCCGCGGUAAUACGAAGGGGGCUAGCGUUGCUCGGAAUGACUGGGCGUAAAGGGCGCGUAGGCGGUUCGUACAGUCGGAUGUGAAAUUCCCGGGCUCACCCUGGGGGCUGCAUUCGAUACGUACGGGCUUGAGUUCGGAAGAGGGUCGUGGAAUUCCCAGUGUAGAGGUGAAAUUCGUAGAUAUUGGGAAGAACACCGGGGCGAAGGGGGCGACCUGACCGAUACUGACGCUGAGGCGCGAAA
rnacentral:rRNA from 1 species